ACGGAGGAUCCAAGCGUUAUCCGGAUUUAUUGGGUUUAAAGGGUGCGCAGGCGGAUCAAUAAGUCAGGGGUGAAAAAUUUCAGCUUAACUGGAAUCGUGCCUUUGAUACUGUUGGACUAGAGUAUAAUUGACGUGACUGGAAUGUGAUGUGGAGCGGUGAAAUACUUAUAUAUGGGGCAGAACAACGGUGGUGAGGGCAGCUAACGGGAUUAUUACUGAUGCUCAUUCGCGUGAGCGUGGGUAUCAGAUAG
rnacentral:rRNA from 1 species